rnacentral:rRNA from 1 species
CCAGACCGCCAGCUAAGGUCCCAAAGUCAUGGUUAAGUGGGAAACGAUGUGGGAAGGCACAGACAGCCAGGAUGUUGGCUUAGAAGCAGCCAUCAUUUAAAGAAAGCGUAAUAGCUCACUGGUCGAGUCGGCCUGCGCGGAAGAUGUAACGGGGCUAAACCAUGCACCGAAGCUGCGGCAGCGACACUAUGUGUUGUUGGGUAGGGGAGCGUUCUGUAAGCCUGCGAAGGUGUGCUGUGAGGCAUGCUGGAGGUAUCAGAAGUGCGAAUGCUGACAUAAGUAACGAUAAAGCGGGUGAAAAGCCCGCUCGCCGGAAGACCAAGGGUUCCUGUCCAACGUUAAUCGGGGCAGGGUGAGUCGACCCCUAAGGCGAGGCCGAAAGGCGUAGUCGAUGGGAAACAGGUUAAUAUUCCUGUACUUGGUGUUACUGCGAAGGGGGGACGGAGAAGGCUAUGUUAGCCGGGCGACGGUUGUCCCGGUUUAAGCAUGUAGGCUGAUUGUCCAGGCAAAUCCGGAUAAUCAAGGCUGAGGUGUGAUGACGAGGCACUACGGUGCUGAAGUAACAAAUGCCCUGCUUCCAGGAAAAGCCUCUAAGCAUCAGGUAACAUUAAAUCGUACCCCAAACCGACACAGGUGGUCAGGUAGAGAAUACCAAGGCGCUUGAGAGAACUCGGGUGAAGGAACUAGGCAAAAUGGUGCCGUAACUUCGGGAGAAGGCACGCUGGUGUGUAGGUGAAGUCCCUGCGGAUGGAGCUGAGACCAGUCGAAGAUACCAGCUGGCUGCAACUGUUUAUUAAAAACACAGCACUGUGCAAACACGAAAGUGGACGUAUACGGUGUGACGCCUGCCCGGUGCCGGAAGGUUAAUUGAUGGGGUUAUCCGUAAGGAGAAGCUCUUGAUCGAAGCCCCGGUAAACGGCGGCCGUAACUAUAACGGUCCUAAGGUAGCGAAAUUCCUUGUCGGGUAAGUUCCGACCUGCACGAAUGGCGUAAUGAUGGCCAGGCUGUCUCCACCCGAGACUCAGUGAAAUUGAACUCGCUGUGAAGAUGCAGUGUACCCGCGGCAAGACGGAAAGACCCCGUGAACCUUUACUAUAGCUUGACACUGAACAUUGAGCCUUGAUGUGUAGGAUAGGUGGGAGGCUUUGAAGCGUGGACGCCAGUCUGCGUGGAGCCAACCUUGAAAUACCACCCUUUAAUGUUUGAUGUUCUAACGUUGGCCCCUGACCGGGGUUGCGGACAGUGUCUGGUGGGUAGUUUGACUGGGGCGGUCUCCUCCCAAAGCGUAACGGAGGAGCACGAAGGUUAGCUAAUCCUGGUCGGACAUCAGGAGGUUAGUGCAAUGGCAUAAGCUAGCUUGACUGCGAGCGUGACGGCGCGAGCAGGUGCGAAAGCAGGUCAUAGUGAUCCGGUGGUUCUGAAUGGAAGGGCCAUCGCUCAACGGAUAAAAGGUACUCCGGGGAUAACAGGCUGAUACCGCCCAAGAGUUCAUAUCGACGGCGGUGUUUGGCACCUCGAUGUCGGCUCAUCACAUCCUGGGGCUGAAGUAGGUCCCAAGGGUAUGGCUGUUCGCCAUUUAAAGUGGUACGCGAGCUGGGUUUAGAACGUCGUGAGACAGUUCGGUCCCUAUCUGCCGUGGGCGCUGGAGAAUUGAGGGGGGCUGCUCCUAGUACGAGAGGACCGGAGUGGACGCAUCACUGGUGUUCGGGUUGUCAUGCCAAUGGCACUGCCCGGUAGCUAAAUGCGGAAGAGAUAAGUGCUGAAAGCAUCUAAGCACGAAACUUGCCCCGAGAUGAGUUCUCCCUGAGACUUUAAGUCUCCUGAAGGAACGUUGAAGACGACGACGUUGAUAGGCCGGGUGUGUAAGCGCAGCGAUGCGUUGAGCUAACCGGUACUAAUGAACCGUGAGGCUUAACCUU